rnacentral:lncRNA from 10 species
AGGGGGAAGCCUACCACACAUUUCUGCCAUCGCAGACGGUGGGCAAACAGCUGUCUCCACAGCUGAGACCACUGGAGCUGCUUGCGCUGCUCCUAUUUCUUACUCUGUUUAUUCACUCACUGUAAAGUUAUUUGUUUAAUGUUCUGUGUCACCAUUUUGAAAUUCUUAAUAAUUUAUGAACAAGGGGCUCCACAUUUUCAUUUUGCUUUGGCUGCACAAAUUUCAUAGCUGGUCCUGGUCCCACGUUCUAGAGUGGGGGUCUAGUGCUGUAGAAGCACAGAGAAGGGAGAAGCAUGUACCAGCAGCCAUGUCAGUGUGGCAGGGUGCAUACAUGCUGGCUGGUGUGGCAUAUUAGUGGUAGUAGGGCUGCAGUGUUCCCGCACACACUUGCCCAUAUGUGCAUUCUGGCAAAGCAGUGAGGGGGUAGCCAUGGGUGAGUGCAUGCCAGCAAAGCAACCUGGGGGAGGCUGUGGUGAGUGGAGCAUGCAAGCGGGCUGGUAUACAUUGGUGGGGGCCACUCUGCUGGAGAUCUCUGAUGGUCAGGCGUGGUCUGCUGGCAAAGCAGCUGUGAUGAAGGUCCCAAGGAGCACCCUGGUGGACAUCCAAGGAUGUGCUGCAAGUGAGUGGAGCCAGGCUGGGGCCCUGGGAGAGGUCAGCAGAUAGUGAGGUGCUCAGAUUAGCCUGGCCCCAUCCCAU